CCUACGGGAGGCAGCAGUGGGGAAUAUUGGGCAAUGGGCGCAAGCCUGACCCAGCAACGCCGCGUGAAGGAAGAAGGCUUUCGGGUUGUAAACUUCUUUUGUCAGGGACGAAGCAAGUGACGGUACCUGACGAAUAAGCCACGGCUAACUACGUGCCAGCAGCCGCGGUAAUACGUAGGUGGCAAGCGUUAUCCGGUUUUAUUGGGUGUAAAGGGCGUGUAGGCGGGACUGCAAGUCAGAUGGUAAAACUAUGGGCUCAACCCAUAGCCUGCAUUUGAAACUGUAUUUCUUGAGUGCUGGAGAGGCAAUCGGAAUUCCGGGUGUAGCGGUGAAAUGCGUAGAUAUACGGAGGAACACCAGUGGCGAAGGCGGAUUGCUGGACAGUAACUGACGCUGAGGCGCGAAAGCGUGGGGAGCAAACAGGAUUAGAUACCCUUGUAGUC
rnacentral:rRNA from 1 species